rnacentral:rRNA from 1 species
UACGUAGGGUGCGAGCGUUGUCCGGAAUUAUUGGGCGUAAAGAGCUCGUAGGCGGUGUGUCACGUCGGCCGUGAAAACCUGCAGCUUAACUGUGGGUGUGCGGUCGAUACGGGCAUCACUGGAGUUCGGCAGGGGAGACUGGAAUUCCUGGUGUGGCGGUGAAAUGCGCAGAUAUCAGGAGGAACACCGGUGGCGAAGGCGGGUCUCUGGGCCGAUACUGACGCUGAGGAGCGAAAGCGUGGGGAGCAAACAGG